rnacentral:rRNA from 1 species
GGGGUGGCUUGCUUUUAACCUUGCAGUCGAACGGCAGCGGGGGCUUCGGCCUGCCGGCGAGUGGCGAACGGGUCGAGUAAUGCAUCGGAACGUGCCCAUGUCGUGGGGGAUAACGUAGCGAAAGCUACGCUAAUACCGCAUACGCCCUGAGGGGGAAAGCGGGGGAUUCUUCGGAACCUCGCGCGAUUGGAGCGGCCGAUGUCGGAUUAGCUAGUAGGUGAGGUAAAGGCUCACCUAGGCGACGAUCCGUAGCGGGUCUGAGAGGAUGAUCCGCCACACUGGGACUGAGACACGGCCCAGACUCCUACGGGAGGCAGCAGUGGGGAAUUUUGGACAAUGGGCGCAAGCCUGAUCCAGCCAUGCCGCGUGAGUGAAGAAGGCCUUCGGGUUGUAAAGCUCUUUCGGCCGGGAAGAAAUCGUGGUCUCUAACAUAGGCCAUGGAUGACGGUACCGGACUAAGAAGCACCGGCUAACUACGUGCCAGCAGCCGCGGUAAUACGUAGGGUGCGAGCGUUAAUCGGAAUUACUGGGCGUAAAGCGUGCGCAGGCGGUUUUGUAAGACAGAUGUGAAAUCCCCGGGCUUAACCUGGGAACUGCGUUUGUGACUGCAAGGCUAGAGUACGGCAGAGGGGGGUGGAAUUCCUGGUGUAGCAGUGAAAUGCGUAGAGAUCAGGAGGAACACCGAUGGCGAAGGCAGCCCCCUGGGCCUGUACUGACGCUCAUGCACGAAAGCGUGGGGAGCAAACAGGAUUAGAUACCCUGGUAGUCCACGCCCUAAACGAUGUCGACUAGUCGUUCGGAGCAGCAAUGCACUGAGUGACGCAGCUAACGCGUGAAGUCGACCGCCUGGGGAGUACGGCCGCAAGGUUAAAACUCAAAGGAUUUGACGGGGACCCGCACAAGCGGUGGGAUGAUGUGGAUAAAUUCGAUGCAACGCGAAAAACCUUACCUACCCUUGACAUGUCUGGAACCUUGCUGAGAGGCGAGGGUGCCUUCCGGGAGCAAGAACACAGUGCUGCAUGGCUGUCGUCAGCUCGUGUCGUGAGAAUGUUGGGUUAAGUCCCGCAACGAGCGCAACCCUUGUCACUAGUUGGCCAUCAUUUGGUGUGGGCACUCUAUGGAAACUGCCGGGUGACAAACCGGAGGAAGGGGGGGAUGAACUCCAAGUCCUCAUGGCCCUUAUGAAGGCUUCACACGUCCAUACAUGGGUCGGCCAAAGGGUUGGCCAGCCCGCGAAGGGUGGAGCAAUCUCUUAAAGCCCAAUACGGAAUUCCGGAAAUCCGAAUUCUGCUGC